rnacentral:other from 1 species
CUCUGGGUGUCCGUGUUUCCUUUUAUUCUUAUAUUGGCUGCUUAUGGUGACAAUUACAGAAUUGUUACCAUAUAGCUAUUGGAUUGGCCAUCCGGUG